rnacentral:misc_RNA from 1 species
GAAAUGCGAUAAGUAAUGUGAAUUGCAGAAUUCAGUGAAUCAUCGAAUCUUUGAACACACAUUGCGCCCGCCAGUAUUCUGGCGGGCAUGUCUGUUCGAGCGUCAUUUCAACCAUCAAGCCCCCGGCUUGUGUUGGGGACCUGCGGCUGCCCGCAGGCCCUGAAAAACAGUGGCGGGCUCGCUGUCACACCGAGCGUAGUAGCAUACAUUCUCGCUCAGGGCGUGCUGCGGGUUCCGGCCGUUAAACGACCUUCAUAACCCAAGGUUGACCUCGGAUCAGGUAGGAAGACCCGCUGAACUUAAGC